GAAAAUUUUUACAUUCAAUAGGCGGAGGAAAAGAAACCAACAGGGAUUGCCUCAGUAACGGCGAGUGAAGCGGCAAAAGCUCAGAUUUGAAAUCUGGCGUCACAUUGGCGUCCGAGUUGUAAUCUGUAGAGGAGCAUUCGAGUGUGGCUUUGGCUUAAGUUCCUUGGAACAGGACGUCAUAGAGGGUGAGAACCCCGUUAACGGCCUUUGUCUUAUGCUCAUGUGAAUCUCCUUCAACGAGUCGAGUUGUUUGGGAAUGCAGCUCUAAAUGGGUGGUAAAUUCCAUCUAAAGCUAAAUACUGGCAAGAGACCGAUAGCGCACAAGUAGAGUGAUCGAAAGAUGAAAAGAACUCUGAACAGAGAGUUAAAUAGUACGUGAAAUUGUUGAAAGGGAAGCACUUGCUACCAGACACGCCUGUAGUUGAUCAGCCUUCAUUCUUGAUGGUGCACUCGGCUACAUGGUGGGUCAGCAUCAGUUGCGGCGGUGGGAUAAAGGCCUGGGGAAUGUGGCUUCUCUCGGGAAGUGUUAUAGCCCCGGGUGCAAUACCGCCUGCUGCGACUGAGGGCCGCGCCCGCAAGGGUGAGGAUGCUGGCAUAAUGGUCGUAAGUGACCCGUCUUGAAACACGGACCAAGGAGUCUAACAUCUAUGCGAGUGUUUGGGUGUCAAAACCCUUACGCGAAAUGAAAGUGAAUGUAGGUGGGAACCGCAAGGUGCACCAUCGACCGAUCCUGAUGUCUUCGGAUGGAUUUGAGUAGGAGCAUAGCUGUUGGGACCCGAAAGAUGGUGAACUAUGCCUGAAUAGGGUGAAGCCAGAGGAAACUCUGGUGGAGGCUCGCAGCGGUUCUGACGUGCAAAUCGAUCGUCAAAUUUGGGUAUAGGGGCGAAAGACAAUCGACCUUGA
rnacentral:rRNA from 1 species